rnacentral:rRNA from 1 species
GAUGAACGCUGGCGGCGUGCCUAAUACAUGCAAGUCGAGCGAACGGACGAGAAGCUUGCUUCUCUGAUGUUAGCGGCGGACGGGUGAGUAACACGUGGAUAACCUACCUAUAAGACUGGGAUAACUUCGGGAAACCGUAGCUAAUACCGGAUAAUAUUUUGAACCGCAUGGUUCAAAAGUGAAAGACGGUCUUGCUGUCACCUAUAGAUGGAUCCGCGCUGCAUUAGCUAGUUGGUAAGGUAACGGCUUACCAAGGCAACGAUGCAUAGCCGACCUGAGAGGGUGAUCGGCCACACUGGAACUGAGACACGGUCCAGACUCCUACGGGAGACAGCAGUAGGGAAUCUUCCGCAAAGGGCGAAAGCCUGACGGAGCAACGCCGCGUGAGUGAUGAAGGUCUUCGGAUCGUAAAACUCUGUUAUUAGGGAAGAACAUAUGUGUAAGUAACUGUGCACAUCUUGACGGUACCUAAUCAGAAAGCCACGGCUAACUACGUG